AUGGGGAUGGAAACCCUGCUGAAUGCUCCUCUACAUGCUUCUCAACAAAGGGAUAAGGUCAACUUCGAUACUGUGGGUGACUUAGGGGAGAAAACGGUGAUGUUCUCUGAUGAUGCAUUCAUGGACAUGACCCACAGUCACACUAUAAACAUUGCCAGUGAUGCAGAACUCCAAAGCUAUGUCGCUUUACCCACGAGAGGAGACAGAACCGUGAUGUUCACUGAGAAUGAUGCAUCCAUGGAUAUGACCCUCAGUGUUCCAGUAUCACUACCCAUGAGUAGAAACAUGGAUUCGAGUGUAGAGAAGAAAAACAUAUCUUCAUCAGUGCCAUCGUUGGAUCCUGGAUUUGAAAACUUCUUUGCAAGUCUUUCUAAACCAAGGGGCGCAAAUCCUGCGAUCCCCAGAAUGACGUCUGCUGCUGGCGCAUCCUCUGAAGAAACAAACGGCUCCGUGGGCCAGAUAAAAACCCAAGGCGCUGAUGUGGACAAAGAAAAUCAGGCUCCAACUUCAGUUUCAGCUGUGAUGAGGAAGUCACUAAAUGCAUCCAGGAAGAUUGGUGAAUUAUCUUACGGAAGUGCCCUCUGUCCGGAAGAUGAUUUGAGCAUGGAUAUGACUGAAGCUCAGACAGGCCGCAUUAUAGGACUCACUGAUGAUCACUUUCAGUUUCUCUUUCCCACACAAGACAUGUACUCUCACCGUGACAACAGAGUGCCGCAGACAGCAGAGAAGACCAAACCGCAGAUCAGUAAAACAUCGACAUCAUUCAACCCUAAAGAUGUGACAUCUUGGACGAAUCCUUCUCGGCAUGCUUCUCAUCAAAGCCUCAAGGUCAACCUUGAUGCACAAGAUGAAGGCAGAGAGAAAACAAUAAUGUCCACUGCAGGUGAUGAGUUUAUGGAUAUGACUCGGAGUCACACCGUUCGCAUUGCCAGUGGUUCAUUAGCUCUUCCGAACCAAAACGUGGACAUUUUUCACCCUCGUGGGAAAAUGGACGACGCUUCAUCUCUGCAGGAGCGAAACCCGCCUGGCUCGUCAGCUAAUUGUUUGGAUCUAGGAUUAAAAAACUUCCUUUCAAGUCUCUAUAAAGCAGGCACCCCCAGUGGUAAUCCUUCUACUGCAGCAUCCUCUGAGGAAACUGUCAACACAAACCGCUCCCUGUCGCAGCUUGAAAGUAAUGUUGGUAAAGAAAAUCGGUCAACAAGGAGCUUUGGAGAAUCUUUUAAUGGAGGCACAAUCUGUCCUGAAAAUGAUGUGAGCAUGGAUAUGACUGAAGCUCAGACGGGCCGCAUUGUAGGACUCACUGGCUCAGAUGAUCCUUUCCAGUUUCUCUUUCCCACACAAGACAAGUACCCCCACGGUGAAAGUCUGAGGACACAAGAGAUCACUUCAGGACCGAAGAGCAGCGAAGUGCUGGGAUCAUCUCACCGUCUGGAACCCUCAUUGAAGCCACUUUUGAAGACAAAUGUACAAAGAAAUCCGGUCAAAUUUGACACCGAAGACGACUACAGAGAGAAAACAGUGAGGUUUUCUGCAGAUGACGCCUGUAUGGAUGUAACACGAAGUCACACUGUAAAUAUUUCAGCUGAUUUACAACGGCAAUCGCUCCAAAAUGUGGCCUUUUUACCUGCAUGUGGAGAGAAGACCGUGAGGUUCACUGCAAACGAUGCAGCGAUGGAUAUGACCCAGAGCCUCACUGUGAACAUUUCCAGUAAUUUAGCAUCGGAUUCAGUUCCUGUGAAGAAACAAGAAGGUGUGAGAUGUGGUCCGCCUACAAACAGAUCCUUCAUCAGCACGCAGUUUGGAUCCAAGGUUUAA
ensembl:lncRNA